UCUACCCCGCAUCUCCGUAUGCGCCGGUGCCAGCUCAGGCUCGACGGUGUUGCCCGCCUCUGACCUCGCCUUCGACACUGACGAUUUAGUAAGGAAUUUCUCUCCUCUGCUCGUACCCUCUCUAGAUCUGGUUCCUUGUGGUGACAUAGCAUCGUUCCAUGGUCGAUUCUUUGCCGGAAAUCACAAGCGUGGUCUACGCUACCUAGUUUUAGCCAUUGUGGUAUCAUACAUCACAGAUGGAUAACAGCUCAUCCCAUCACGGUCAGUGACCUUGCCGGAGGCUCAAAAUUUCACUUCACAAUUCUAGGUAUUUUAAUUCGUGCUUGCAUCUUUCAGUGUGCACUACUAUUAGUUCUGCACAUGCAAGCCUGUUGUUUCUACUUUGGUUGAUCUAAUUGGAUGUAUGGCUGAGUCCGUAUGUGUUAAUUCUGAAAGAGUGCUUGUGUGUCCUUUUUUUAUCUCAAUAGUUCGUUCUUGCUGCUAUUUGUGUGGAUGAAUCCGUACCAAUUUUAUUGUCACAUGUCGUGUAAUACUGUAGGAAUAAGUCUCACAUGUGUACAUCUGUCCUAAUAUUCCUCUUUAUUGUAUAUAUAAUCCUUAUUUUCAUCUUCCCUUACAGGUUCUGAAAUUGACAUUGCUUCAGCCAACAUGUGUGUGUUUGUUGGAUUGCAUUCUCAUCCUAGUAGCAGUUCAAUAUGUUGUGUCGAUGAACAUGCAGGUGAGGCUGCAACAUGGUUGUGAGUUACCAAAAAUUGUCUCCCUUAAUUAACUAAUAGCUGACUCAUUUCAAUGGUUGAUCCGCCUGCUGAGUUCAGCAUGAAGUUUUGGUCUGACCUUUUCAUUGCGGUGCUUGCAGAAUGGUGUCGUGGCAGCACUGCACAAUUAAUUAACUACGCUGAGAAACAUCGUAGCUCUUCUUUUCAUGACCACACGCUGUGGAGCCACCGGCCUGCUCGAGUUGC
rnacentral:lncRNA from 1 species